UUUGAUAUAAAUACAUGUCUUCAAUUUAGAUAUAAUAAAAAAAACUCUGAAGUUGAGCCAAUUCUCGUAAUGUGUCGAAAUCGCGAUUGAAAUUCCACCAUAAAACUCAAAUAUACGACUAAAAAGACAAAAGUGGUCUAUCACAUAAUUGUUUUGAAAAUUGAAGACAGAGCUUAACAGAGUGAUUAAAACUGACAUUAAGAGGCAAUAUACGUCGAAGUGAAUUUUGCAAAGUAUCUGUACGACACCUGCUAUUAACUAAAUAGUAGACAGGUAUUUGCCGAUGCAGAAUAAUACAUGCGGAAAAUUGAAAUAUUAAUCUGGAAUUAUUCUAGUAUAAGGCCACCGCGACACUUAACUCUUUCGGCUAGAUCGUCCAACUAAUAAUACGCACGCACGUGAAAUGUUUUGGCUGGUGCUUUUUGUUCGCGCCGGUUAUUUCAGUUUUCCAGUAGGAUUUUAUACAAGAUCAGCUCUGGCCGUCUCCGCAGUGCAGCGCCAGAAAAGUUUUCCGAAAAUUGUUUGGUGCUUUGUGCUUAGGAUAGUGGUCACAACUAGUAACAGCCAUUAACCAUACACGAUAAAAAACGAAAUUUAAAAAGGUCCAAGUAAAAAUUAUCGAGUUUUAUGUGUGAUUUCGACAACUUCUAUGUAAAGGUUUUCUAAAGUGCAGUGAAUGUGUGUCAAAAGCCUUUGGGAGUUCAGUGUUGUGGGAGUAGAAGAAUAUAACGGCAAAUAUGUCGGAGUUCUUUGGACCAUGGACCAAGAAGGGAGAGGACGACGAAGAGGUGGUAGAGGAAACUGUGGAGACCUAUACCACUACCACCACACGGACACAGAUACCAUCAAAAUCGUCGUCGACGAAGACAACGACGAUGACGACUCCUGCGAAGCUGUUCGGACGGGAACUGUCCACCUACGACGAGGUGGAUGUCGACGAGCUGUUGGCAAAGCUGUCGCAGGAAGAACUUACCAUGCUGGCCAAGGAAGUUGAUCCAGACGACAAUUUCCUGCCGCCAUCACAACGUAACAACUACGAUUGUGAGAAGGACCCCACAGGUCCCCUUAACCGUAAGAAGCUGAUUGAACACAUAAACAAACAAGCACUGGAGACUCCCGACCGACCUGAAGUUAAGCCCUACGUCGCUGGCGUCGUACGUGGAAAGAAGUGGAUCCCGCCGCCGCAGCCUGAGAAGAUGCGUGACGCGGACGAACAGAUCUCCAUCGACCUCGGCGACGAGUACGAGCAGGCGCUCACCACUGCCUCCCAAGAAGAAAUCAUUGACUUGGCUGCUAUUCUCGGCUUCCACUCGAUGAUGAACCAGGAUCAGUACCACGCUUCGCUUCUGAACAAGGGCCAGCCUGUCGGUCUCGGUUGGGAUGGCAUCACGAAAGCUACCAAACCUAAGGUGUACCCUAUGGACCCCCCCAACGAUACGGACCCCGACGACACUAUCACCCGGGUGCAACAAAAUGACCAAAAGUUGACUGAUCUCAAUUGGAAUAAUAUUAAGAACAUAAGCGACGAGAAAUUCGAGAAGCUAUUCGAAGCUCUGAAGGGCAACACGCAGCUGGAGGUGCUGUCGCUGGUGAACGUGGGGCUCAACGACCGCACGGCGGCGCUGCUGAGCGACGCGCUGCGCGUCAACAGCGGCCUGCGCGUCGUCAACGUCGAGACCAACUUCAUCUCGCCCGCCGGCGUGCUGCAGCUGCUGCGCGCGCUCGCCGACACGCACACCGUCGAGGAGUUCCGCGCCUCCAACCAGCGGUCGCAAGUCCUCGGUAACAAGAUCGAGAUGGAGAUCACGAGCCUGGUGGAGCAGAACCCCACGCUGCUGCGGCUGGGCCUGCACCUGGAGUACAGCGACGCCCGCCACAGGAUCGCCAGCCAUCUGCAGAGGAACAUCGACAGAAAUUGCCGCGUGCUAAAGAAGGCUAGCGUGUCGCUGAGCCUGCGGCGGCCGCGCGGUCGUCCGCCCGCUGUGGGUAUCGACAGUAGCUUCUUCAACAUGACGCCGCCCAGCGCUGAAUCUGUCACACCCACCAAGGAAGAACCCAAACCAAUAAUAAGCGAAAUCGUGGAUACCUCGUCUACAGUCCAAGCACAACCAGACGGCACUGAAGCCGUAACAGCUCCAGAACCUAUCGAGAAACCUGUAUCGAAUGGUUUCGAAGCACCAAUCGCUACCCAACCCGUAACACCAGAAAUAGAAGAAAAACCUAUAAUCACGGAUAACGUGGGUAAUCCAAUACCCGAGGACCGACUUACUGAAGAAGCACCGGUAGAAAGUUCUGAAACGCCGAUAGAAAAGGCUGAAGAGAGCGCAGAUAAAACUGAAUCGACCGGUGAACAAGCAGACAGAUUCGUGCUAGCGGCGCGACCCGACAUAAACCCCAAUCCCCACUCCAGAGAGGGGAGUUCUAGCAUAGAACAGAACGAUAAUAUGUAGAAAGGCCGCAAAAAAUCGUACGCCAGCAGCGCCGGAGCCAGAACAGCGCUUAGAGCCUUGAACUGUCGCACGUGGCGGGCGCAUCCGCCGCCUGACCCAGUUCACCCGCAGCCGCAGCUACGUGGUGGGCUGGAUCCCGUGAGGCGCCGCCCACUCCGCUCGCGCUCGCUGGCCACGCACCGCACGCCCGCUCACAACGCUGUCAUUGAAUAUAUUUAUCAACACAUACAAUUUAAGUUCAAGCUAGACUUGGUUCGCACCGAACUGACCUAUCUAUAUGAAGUUCUUUGUAACCUGGCGCCUAUACAAGCGCCGCAGUUCCGGAAAGCAAUGACUGCGUUGCAACCAAGUCUGCGUUCACCUUAAUUAAGCCUCCAACUUUACAAAACAUUUUUGAAGAAGAUUUAUUUUUAACAACAAUUGACAAGAAUGAAUUCAAAAAAUAUUUUUUUAGAUUUUAUUUUUUUACUUAUACAAAAUGUUUGUCAAAUAUAUACAAUUACAUCGAACUUCUCCGGGCAGAAAAAUAAUGGUACAUCUGAUGACGAAUGUUGUGUGCAAACAAGAAUUGAUAUUUUACCAUUGAAUUCGCUAUCGGUAUUUAUAUCGAUAGGUUGAAUUAUCGACUAACAUCACUAGCAUGAUGGCAGGACCAUCACUAGUAAAACAGUAUGAUAAAAUCACAAUUCCUGUGUAUAGCGUGAAUGACGUACGUUUUACUAUUAAUUCUUACUAUAGUGUGCUAAUGAAUUCGUAUUAAUUUUAUUAUGAUAUUAAAUUGUAAUAUAUUUUAUAGAUGUGCACAUUCCAUUAAUGCGAAACAUGCUUCUCUUAUAUUUGACGCUUAGUGAAUAACCUUUUUAAUUUAAACCUACUAAGGGUAGCCCUAAAAUUGUAUUAAUAACGACACAAUGUGGUCGUUUCGGUAGUUGGGAGCGGUAGAUGCUUUAGUGACUAGCUGUUUUUUGCUGCCAUUUUAAGCAACCUACCUACCUCACAUAUACCGCGUAUGAAAUUAUGUUGCGGCAUUGUAAAGUUCCUUCAAUGUGAAAAUGUGUAUCUUGUUUGUCAUUUUAUAUAAAAGUUUAUUAAUUACGUUGUCCUUUUGACAUCGUCAGAUGUCAGCUGUCCGAUUCUGAUUCUGGAGAUUAUGAGCCUUCUAAGCUGGAAUACUCUGACAAAAUGGAUUUCCGGUCAGGAUACUCAAAAGCAGGGAAAGGGCAUCACAAAUAUAACUAAUUUAACGUAGUUUUGCAAGUCAAAUGUACAUAUAUUUUUCUUGACCGUUUAAUUUAUUUUGUUUGACUAAUAAGACACAUUAAUUUUUAGUUUCAAUGUUUAGAUAACAUUUAAAAAAUGACUGAUUACUUAUGACUUGCCAACUUGAGUUGUCUUAACCGUUAUAGAGAGGUAUACAAUCAACUUUACAGAGAGAAGCCAUGUUCUGCGUCAAUGGAGCGUAACUUUAAAUAUUUCAAUAAAGCACUAGGUUUUGUUCGCAUUGUUUAGUAAACUUUCGAUAUGCGCCUUUGGUGGAAUCUUUGUAUUUAGAUAAUCGAUCGUAGCUAUGGUCUAGCGGUGUACUGAAGCUUUUGAUAUGAAUAGCUUUUUAUAACGUAACCUUUUGCUUUUUUGAAACAAAAAAAAUGCUUAAAAAUGUAACUUUAUGUAUAUUUAGUGAAUCUACUGGGGAACUAAGUGUCCAUAACAUUGUGAUACAGACAUCAUAUUUUCCAUUAAAAAUCUGCUUCGAUUUUUUUUCGUCUGUUAGUUUCAAUAAGAGAGAUUAUUUGUAUAUGAUUUUAGAUUUUUAAAAUGUAAUAUUCUUUUAUUGUGACGAUUUAUGAAAAAAAUAAAUUAAUAUAAAUCAUAAUUUAAUUUGUAAUGAUUAGUUUUAUUUAUGUUGAUAUAUUACGGUUCAGGAGCAUUUUGAUCCAUCGAAAACCUUGACUAGUAGAGUCGCAGUUCUGUAGUUUUGUGACAAAUGUAAAAAAUAUUAAUAAAGUACAUACAUUAA